rnacentral:rRNA from 1 species
UACCUACGGGACGCAGCAGUGGGGAAUAUUGCACAAUGGGGGAAACCCUGAUGCAGCGACGCCGCGUGAGCGAGGAAGUACCUCGGUAUGUAAAGCUCUGUCAGCAGGGAAGAAAAUGACAGUACCUGACCAAGAAGCCCCGGCUAACUACGUGCCAGCAGCCGCGGUAAUACGUAGGGGGCAAGCGUUAUCCGGAUUCACUGGGCGUAAAGGGAGCGCAGGCGGCACGGCAAGUCUGAUGUGAAAACCCGGGGCUCAACCCCGGGACUGCAUUGGAAACUGCCGGGCUGGAGUGUCGGAGGGGG